AUUCCGCCCAAGCGGGGAAGGAUGAGAAGCUUCGACCAAGGUUCGACUUGAGCGCCAGCGAGAGAGCGUUGCCGCAGGCAACGACCCGAAGGGCGAAGCGCGCAGCGCUGAGUAAUCCUUCCCCCACCACCA
rnacentral:sRNA from 1 species